rnacentral:rRNA from 1 species
AUACGGAGGAUCCGAGCGUUAUCCGGAUUUAUUGGGUUUAAAGGGAGCGUAGGCGGACGCUUAAGUCAGUUGUGAAAGUUUGCGGCUCAACCGUAAAAUUGCAGUAGAUACUGGGUGUCUUGAGUACAGUAGAGGCAGGCGGAAUUCGUGGUGUAGCGGUGAAAUGCUUAGAUAUCACGAAGAACUCCGAUUGCGAAGGCAGCCUGCUGGACUGUAACUGACGCUGAUGCUCGAAAGUGUGGGUAUCAAACAGGAUUAGAUACCCUGGUAGUCCACACAGUAAACGAUGAAUACUCGCUGUUUGCGAUAUACAGUAAGCGGCCAAGCGAAAGCGUUAAGUAUUCCACCUGGGGAGUACGCCGGCAACGGUGAAACUCAAAGGAAUUGACGGGG